rnacentral:lncRNA from 1 species
GGCAACAAAAUGAAAAAGCACAGAGAGACAAGUAGAAUAUUCUUUCUUGAAUUUAUAGUGGGAAGCUUGAUAGAACAAAAACUUCCAACAAAUCUUCCUCAUCUCAGCCCAUUUGGAAAGGUGACAAGAACCAUAUCUCUCAUGACAUUAUGGCUGCAUCUCCAGUGAACAGAGACCAGCACUGUGUAGAGAAAACAGUAACAGCUCAUAAUUAUAAGUUGAAAGAAUAGUCAAGUGAAUAAAUAAUCCACAGCUAAUGGUGCAGUCUGUCUUAAAAUCUAAAUUUGCUCAUCAUUUAAAAAAGGCAAAAAUGCUGAAAUAAGAUAUAUGAGGAUG